AGAGAGAGAGAUGGACGGAGAGUGAGAAGAGGCGAGGACAAACGACGAGACAGAUGAAGUUCAACACGAUCGUCAAUCGCCACCGAAGAGACACAAGCGAGCGAUAAGGAACGAGCGCCCUCGCGAUCGAAGCCGGAGAAUAAGAGACGAGGAUCGAACGAAGCAAGAGGAGGAAAGAGGAAGAAAAUGAGGAGAAUUCGUGCGGAAUAACAGUUGAGUUACCGCGGCAAAGAGAAAAGAGAACGAGGAAUAAAAUUCUGUGCAAAAAAUGAAACGAGCGGAGGCGACGUAAAAAAUUACAGGCAAAUUUUCAAAGAAGGAAAAAACGAGGCUCACAGAGACGGAAUAAUCAUCUUUGUUGGAUCAACGCAUCCCGGGUCCUGAUUGAAACACCAGAGGAUAACGAGACGCCUUGCCAGCAUGAAGGAAGCUGCAUGAACGAUUGGCAAAGAGGGCGCGGGGCGAAAAAAAUGCGGUGGCUGUAUGGAUCCGGUCGCGGCGAGGUACAUCGUGUUUAAACAAUAACCCAUUACCCAUGGUAGAUUAUGGAGGGUGGACGCGAGAGCCGAGGGGUUCACACGAGUGUCAUGCACCAAUGAGCUUUGCCGUUAAUGAGUAUCCGGCUGGAGUAGCACCAGUGGGGCCAUAGCCAGGAAUGAAAUGACGCAAUUAAUUAGCGAAAUUAGUCGUCGUCGUGGUGUGUGUGUGUGUGUGUGCGUGUGUGUGUGUUUGUGUAUGUGGGGGAGAGAUGGUCUCAUGCGUUGGCCUCCGGUAACGAGAAUUUUAGUGAGAGCAACGUACUAACCGAGAAAAAAUAAAAUUGCGACAUAAAAUCUUAAACGUGGGCAGAGAAACAAGGCGAGCGAGAGAGUAACGUUGAUAACCGGCUCGUUUCGAGCCGAAGAAUAUGAACUUUAUUACAAGAGCAUCAAAUCUGUAGAAUUAACGAUAAAUUGACGAUUCUCUGCUUUUACCACCCUUUGUUUAUGUACCCAUUGCACAGUCGCGGUGCGCUCGAGCGUGUUUCGUUCAAUUUAUAUCGCUGGCCCUAUUGAACUAUACGAUUUCCGUCGCAACGCGCGAGGACGCCACUCUCUUUUAUUCCUCCGGCUCGCACGUGUUAUCUAAAGCGCAACUAUUUGGUACAGGCUAUUCGUAUAAGCCAUUGAAUAAUUAGCGAUCGAAUUUCCGUCACCGCGUAUCAACCCCGGCGAUCAAACACCCUCCCUUUCAAUCCGACGACCGACUACUGUAUUUAACGGUGACGUCAAUUGAUCGCCCUGCCAAAACGAUCCUUACAAUCAAAACAUUCUAUUGAUAAUUAGCUUGCGAUGAAUUGAUAUCCAUUCUAAGUUCCCGGCGGAGCUACCGAUACCACAUUUUGCUGGAAUUACGUGCCCGCGUUGCUCCGAAAUUCAUGCAAAUCUGUAUUCAUGCUCUGAUUUUAUUAUAUGAUUGGCAGCAUCGAUUUUGCUCCCCUCACUUCGUCACUGUCGUCAUCGAUCCAAAAUCCUUCGCUCAAGGACCGUCAUAUCGAAAAUCUCAUUCGCCACCUCUGACGGGCUUUGGCUAACUCUGUGCGUCAUUUUAAUCUCAGUCGUCACCAGAAUCCUGCACACAUUAUUGUUACGAAAAGUAUUGAGUCCCGGGGCAAUAAAAAGAACCAAGGACGACAACGUUUCGAACAAUGUCGAAUGUUCCUUGUUAACCGCUGUAGUUAUCCUACGGAAUGGCACACCGACAUACUGGCAACUAAAUUGCUAUAUUGGUACACUGUCAACUUUGACAAAAUACGCGUGAGCACGAGUGUGUGCCCAUGAUUUUUCUGUGCUGAGAAUAUCGUCAGGAAACUAGAGAGGGAAAGGGAAGGAAUGAAACGAGCUGUGAAAAAAGAGUGGAAAGAUCGUGGAUUGAAAAAAAAAGUGAAAAGAGAAAAUUGCAUGAAUCACAAUCGUGUUAUCUCGAAUCGAAUAUUUUAUGUUUCUGAAUAAGAUAAACCCAUUUCGAUAAAAAUGCAAGUUAAACGAGAGUAUGAAAUUCGUGUGAAAGUAUAAAAUUAUCAUUGAAUUUGAAAAAAAAAAACACUUGUGAAGGGUCUCACCUGGAGAUAUCCUCCAGCGCAGGUUGUGGCGUUCACGAGUACGCCGACUUUGAAUUUCUUGAAUCUGACACGAAGUAUCCAAUCUCGUGGAGUGCCACGAAAGGCUCGAAAUCGGUACCAGCAUGUCAAGGGUUUGCCCCACGUCUCUGGGCUGACCGAGGGACUCGAAACGUCCUCGUAAAUGUCGACGGACUUGUUGCAGUGGUCGCGUUCCGCUGUAACCGCCAAAUGAACAAAAAACAUUGAUUACCGUUUGUGGGAAUAUUUUGUAUUUCGAGUUGAUGGCUGCGCUGUUACUUUAUGGAACGACGGCUCUCGGUGGACAUUUUCUCUACCGAUAAAUCCAAUUCGUUUUCCUACUUUUCAAAACCUCCGCCGGCUCUUCAUUCCUUCCUGGGCAUGUUGCCUCGUCAUAUUUCAUUUUACGCUUCGUGCUCACAAGUUUUACAUUCCGAAUAACCUUUCACAAGUGCGACGUUUUCACGAGCGUAAAAAGCGUGCAAGCAAAAAGUUUCGUUGGUAGAAAGAAAAAAAACGGUAAGGGCCUCUCGAGACGACCAGGCUGGCAAAGACAGAUAGAGAAAGCCGGAAUAAGGGAGGUGAAAAAAUGUGAAAUAGAAGGAGCAGAAUAAGAAAUAAACACGUCUUGUGUGCAUGUGUGCGAGUGCUCGUAUAUAGUUUAAACUAGACGUCAGCAGCACGUCCCCUUUGCGUAAUAAGAUGCUCGCGCGUCAAAGACUCGACGUGGUGGAAAAUGCUGCACGAGCACGUCCCCAUCGCGGUGGGAACGUGUCGGGCACUGACUGGUCAUCAUCUAGUCGACGCCACCGAGUAACCUUCCGGAAUGGACAAAAUUUUAUUCGAAUGGGACUUACCAAUUUCGCUUUCCCAACUAUUUCGUGCUCUUUGUAAGUAGAAUUUUCAAAUGUUCUCUCGGAGAAACUAAUCUCCUGGGUUUAUUCAUUUUCGUAUAAUGACAAAAAACUGCAGCUAACACAAUUUUGGAGGAAAAAAUAAAAAUAAAAUGGCAA
rnacentral:lncRNA from 1 species